GGUUCGAUCAUGGCUCAGGAUUGAACGCUGGCGGAUGCUUUACAUGCAAGUCGAACGGCAGCACGACUUCGGUCUGGUGGCGAGUGCGAACGGGUGAGUAAUGUAUCGAACGUGCCUAUAGUGGGGAUAACUACGCGAAAGCGUAGCUAAUACCGCAUACGCCCUUCGGGAAAGCGGGGACCUUCGGGCCUCGCACUAUUAGGAGUUGCAAUAGAUAUCGAUCAGCUAGUUGGUGGGGUAACGGCUCACCAAGGCGACGAUCCGCAGCUGGUUUGAGAGGACGACCAGCCACACUGGGAUCAGUGACACGGCCCAGACUCCUACGGGAGGCAAGAGCAGUGGGGAAUUUUUGGACAAUGGGGGAAACCUGAUCCAGCCCGGCGUGUGCGAUGAGAAGGCCUCGCUGUAAAGCACUUUUUUGGCAGGAUAAGAAAACGGCACGGAUAAUACCCUGUGCAACCGACGGUACCUGCAGAAUAAGCACCGGCUAACUAGCGGCCAGCAGCCGCGGUAAUACGUAGGGUAAGCGUUAAUCGGAAUUACUGGGGUAUGGAAGCGUGCGCAGGGGCGGUUCGAAAGAAAGAUGAAAUCCCAGAGCUUAACUUUGAACUGCAUUUUUAACUACUGAGCUAGAGGUCAGAGGGAGUGCGGACCAUGUGUAGCAGUGAAAUGCGUAGAUAUGCGGAGGAACACCGAUGGCGAAGGCAGCCUUGGGAAACACUGACGUCAUGCACGAAAGCGUGGGAGCAAACAGGAUUAGAUACCCUGGUAGUCCACGCCCUAAACGAUGUCAACUAGCUGUUGUAAGCCUUCGGGCCUUGGUAGCAGCUAACGCGUGAAGUUGACCGCCUGGGGAGUAGUCGCAAAGAUUAAAACUCAAAGGAAUUGACGGGGACCCGCACAAGCGGUGGAUGAGGGAUUAAUUGAUGCAACGCGAAAACCUUACCUACCCUUGACAUGUCUGGAAUCCCGAAGAGAUUUGGGAGUGCUCGCAGAACCGGAACACAGGUGCUGGCAUGGCCGCUGUCGUCAGCUGUGUCGUGAGAUGUUGGGUUAAGUCCCGCAACGAGCGCAACCCUUGGUCAUUAUUGCUACGAAAGGGCACUCUAAUGAGACUGCCGGUGACAAACCGAGGAAGGUGGGGAUGUCAAGUCCUCAUGGCCCUUAUGGGUAGGGCUUCAAUGCCGUAGUUAACGGUCGUACAGAGGGUCGCCAACCCGCGAGGGGGAGCCAAUCCCCAGAAACCCGAUCGUAGUCCGGAUCGCAGUCUGCAACUCGACUGCGUGAAGUCGGAAUCGCUAGUAAUCGCGGAUCAGCAUGUCGCGGUGAAUACGUUCCCGGGUCUUGUACACACUCCGCCCGUCACACCAUGGGAGUGGGUUUUACCAGAAGUAGUUAGCCUAACCGUAAGGAGGGCGAUUACCACGGUAGGAUUCAUGACUGGGGUGAAGUCGCACAAGGUAG
rnacentral:rRNA from 1 species